AAAAUUUAGAAAAAAAGUGUUAUCAUAAAUUAUAAACAGAACUCUUGUUCGUCGGGGGAAGUCGGGUGCAACGCCCGCGCGGUCCCGCCGCCGUGAGAGGAGGACAAGCCAGGUUCGGGGAGGGCGCGAAGGCGCGGCUCCAUCGAACUAUGUCUUGGAUCCCAAGCCGGAAUACCUGACGUUCAAGCGGACACAAG
rnacentral:ncRNA from 2 species